rnacentral:miRNA from 1 species
CCCCUUGAUCAAAUGUGUACAUAUAUACACACACAUAACCCACCUCACCCCAAGUGUGUGUAUAUAUGUACACAUUUGAUCAAAGGG